rnacentral:sRNA from 1 species
UCCUUGACCUGGUUUACCACCAUUGUGCCUUUGGUCCUGGUGAUAACUAUGACAGCUGUCAAAGAUGCCACAGAUGACUAUUUUCGCCACAAGAGUGAUAAUCAAGUGAAUAAUCGGCAGUCUGAAGUGCUCAUCAACAGCAAACUGCAGAAUGAAAAAUGGAUGAAUGUCAAAGUGGGAGACAUCAUUAAAUUAGAAAAUAACCAAUUUGUUGCUGCUGAUUUACUUCUCCUAUCAAGUAGUGAGCCACAUGGUCUCUGUUAUGUUGAAACUGCUGAGCUUGAUGGGGAAACGAACCUAAAAGUCCGCCAUGCACUAUCAGUUACUUCAGAACUUGGAGCAGAUAUCAGCAGACUUGCAGGGUUUGAUGGGAUUGUUGUCUGUGAGGUGCCUAACAACAAGUUAGAUAAAUUCAUGGGAAUCCUUUCUUGGAAAGACAGCAAGCACUCCCUCAACAAUGAGAAGAUAAUCCUGAGAGGCUGCAUCCUGAGAAAUACCAGCUGGUGUUUUGGAAUGGUUAUUUUUGCAGGUCCUGACACUAAACUAAUGCAGAACAGUGGUAAGACAAAGUUUAAAAGGACAAGCAUUGAUAGAUUGAUGAAUACUCUAGUACUAUGGGAAAUUCAAUCUGGGAGAGUCAAACUGGGGACCAAUUCAGAACUUUCCUCUUUUGGAAUGAAGGAGAGAAGAGCUCUGUGUUCUCCGGAUUCUUAACAUUCUGGUCAUAUAUUAUUAUUCUCAAUACAGUUGUACCCAUUUCCUUAUAUGUGAGGUAAGAUGAGA